AGAACGAACGCUGGCGGCAGGCCUAACACAUGCAAGUCGAACGCUCUUUUCGGAGAGAGUGGCGCACGGGUGAGUAACGCGUGGGAAUCUGCCCUUUGGUUCGGAAUAACCCUGGGAAACUAGGGCUAACACCGGAUAAGCCCCGCGAGGGGGAAAGUUUACGCCGAAGGAGGAGCCCGCGUCCGAUUAGCUAGUUGGUGAGGUAAGAGCUCACCAAGGCUUCGAUCGGUAGCUGGUCUGAGAGGACGAUCAGCCACACUGGGACUGAGACACGGCCCAGACUCCUACGGGAGGCAGCAGUGGGGAAUAUUGGACAAUGGGCGCAAGCCUGAUCCAGCCAUGCCGCGUGAGUGAUGAAGGCCUUCGGGUUGUAAAGCUCUUUGGCGGGACGAUGAUGACGGUACCCGCAGAAUAAGCCCCGGCAAACUCGUGCCAGCAGCCGC
rnacentral:rRNA from 1 species